rnacentral:rRNA from 1 species
UACGUAGGGGGCUAGCGUUGUCCGGAAUCAUUGGGCGUAAAGAGCGUGUAGGCGGUUCGGUAAGUCUGCUGUGAAAGUCCAGGGCUCAACCCUGGAAUGCCAGUGGAAACUGCCGAGCUAGAGUCCGGAAGAGGCGAGUGGAAUUCCUGGUGUAGCGGUGAAAUGCGCAGAUAUCAGGAGGAACACCAAUGGCGAAAGCAGCUCGCUGGGACGGUACUGACGCUGAGACGCGAAAGCUAGGGGAGCAAACAGG